UCAGGUGUGGUGCAGAGUCAGGUGUGGUGCAGAGUCAGGUGUGUUGCAGGGUCAGGUGUGGUGCAGAGUCAGGUGUGUAACAGGGUCAGGUGUGUAACAGAAUCAGGUGUGUAUCAGGGUCAGGUGUGUAAAAGAGUCAGGUUUGUAACACAAUCAGGUGUGUUACAGGGUCAGGUGUGUAGCAGAGUCAGGUGUGUUGCAGGGUCAGGUGUGUUGCAGGGUCAGGUGUGUUGCAGGGUCAGGUGUGUUGCAGGGUCAGGUGUGGUGCAGAGUCAGGUGUUUAACAGGGUCAGGUGUGUAACAGAGUCAGGUGUAUUGCAUGGUUAGGUGUGACAAGGUCAGGUGUGUUGCAGGGUCAGGUGUGUUGCAGGGUGAGGAGUGGUGCAGGGUCAGGUGUGUUGCAGGGUCAGGUGUGUUGCAGGGUCAGGUGUGUUGCAGGGUCAGGUGUGGUGCAGAGUCAGGUGUUUAACAGGGU